rnacentral:rRNA from 1 species
CGUGCUUAACACAUGCAAGUCGGAUGCGAACGGCUGCUUCGGGCGUUGAGUAGCAUGGCAGACGGGUGAGGAGCGCGUAUCUGACUGGACUCAGGCUGGGGGAUAGUCCCUCGAAAGGGGGUUGAAUACCGCAUGUGCUCGGUGCUGUGAGGGCAUCGAGGAAAGUUGGCCUCUGCGGGCACGCUGAUGGCCUGAGACAGGGAUGCGUCCUAUUAGCUAGCUGGUGGGGUAAGGGCCUACCAGGGCGACGAUGGGUAGCUGGUCUGAGAGGAUGAUCAGCCACACUGGGACUGCGACACGGCCCAGACUCCUACGGGAGGCAGCAGUGGGGAAUUUUGCGCAAUGGGCGCAAGCCUGACGCAGCAACGCCGCGUGCAUGACGACGCCCUUCGAGGUGUAAAGUGCUGUCGACCGGGACGAAGGGGCGAGGGUGAACAGCUUUCGCGCAUGACGGUACCGGUGGAGGAAGCCCCGGCUAACUCCGUGCCAGCAGACGCGGUAAGACGGAGGGGGCGAGCGUUGUUCGGAAUUACUGGGCGUAAAGCGCGCGUAAGCGGUGCAGCAAGUGGUGCGUGAAAGCCCUCGGCUUAACCGGGGACGGGCGUGCCAAACUGUUGGAACUGGAGUGCCGGAUGGGGACGCGGAAUUCCUGGUGGAGCGGUGAAAUGCGUAGAGAUCAGGAAGAACGUCGGUGGCGAAUGCGAACCCUGGACGGACACUGACGCUUAGGUGCGAAAAGCCGUGGGGGCGAACGGGAUUAGAUAACCC